rnacentral:ncRNA from 2 species
GGGAAGAUGGUGCAAAGCCAUCACGGUGCCGCCACUGUAAGCGGGGAGUGAGCCCGCAGGUCAGCC